rnacentral:rRNA from 1 species
UACGGGAGGGGCAAGCGUUGUUCGGAAUUACUGGGCGUAAAGGGCCAGUAGGCGGCCAACUAAGUCCGACGUGAAAUCCCAAGGCUUAACCUUGGAACUGCGUCGGAUACUGGAUGGCUUGAAUUCGGGAGAGGGAUGCAGAAUUCCAGGUGUAGCGGUGAAAUGCGUAGAUAUCUGGAGGAAUACCGGUGGCGAAGGCGGCAUCCUGGACCGACAUUGACGCUGAUGAGCGAAAGCUAGGGGAGCAAACGGG